GGAGAGGCGGGGGAGACGCGCACCGGCCCGCGAGCUGGGGCCGGAGCUGGGGGCUCAGGGCAGCAGGUAGCGAGGCCGAGCCCCUCUCUCCAGGACGCCCUAUUUAAGCCAGGGUGUCAGUUGCUGACGAAUCAUCUUAAACCACCCCAAAGUGAGCAAACUCCCGCGCCCUUGGCGUUUGCUGGGCGGAAACUCCUUCGCCUUAACCAAGCGCGGGUUCCUUGUUCCUGAACUGAGACCACGGGCACGUCGGCUCUUUUCAGAAGGUCAAGCGGCUAAUCCUCGAAGUCAUCCGGCAUAGCCAGAGUCUGUUUUUUUCCCCCCGUCCGAAAUGGCAAUUGUAACAGCCACAGGGAUCCCAGGAGACGUGGGUGCAAUAAUGCUCAUGCCCAGUGUGGAGUCCAGUUCGAGGCUUGAACUCUGGAACCUGAGAUCAAAACCUGAGCUGAGAUCAAGAUACGGAUGCUUAACUGAGUGAGCCACCCGCAUGCCCCAGGGGCUUACCUUCUUAUCUUCUUAAUACGUCUUUUGAUGCACAAAAAUGCCUUAAUUUUAAUGUAGCCCAACUUACUGGCCUUUUAUGGGUAUGCUUUGUUUCCUGUUUCAUUAGUCUUUUCUUGCCCCAAGACUAUGAAGAUACUCUCCUAUAGUAUCUUCUAGAAGCUUUAUUGUUUCACCUUUCACAUGAAUAUCUAUAAUUCACCUGGAAUUGGUUUUUUGGUGCACCCUGUUUCAGAUGUUAAGAGGUGAAAAGCAACACGUAUCCAAAACUGAUAAAAUACAGCAAUGUGUUCACCUCCAUUUUUUAACCAAAUCCUUUAUGGGCGUUUUUCUCUGUGAUUAAGUAUUCUUCUAUAAGAGGAUUGUUUUUAAGUUUAUUUAUUUCUUUUGAGGGGCAGGGAGAG